GCCACUACGCUCCCUUUCCUUGUUACCAUCGGGUCAGACUAUAUGCCUCGUCUGCCUGACACCAGCUCUUCAGGGUCUCAGCCAGAGACCUGUUUUUCCCUUCCCCCACUCCUUGAACCUUUCCACUGGAGAUAUAGCGCAAAGUGAACCAGGUGUUAAGGUUCCCUCCCUGAAGAAACCAUAGCUCAGCAAACUGGUAUAUCCUAUUGCAGGGAUGUCCAACCAGUAGAUCCCCGGCUGAUCCUGGUAAAUCGCGGGAUCCUUAUCGCAUACAAAAAGUUACAGGGGGCGGAGCUAAAAAUGGCCCAGUUGCAUCCUAAAGGAGAUUAGGAGGAGUGACCAGAGUCAGGCACCACAUAAACCCACUGGCACCGCCAUUUGAACUGCAUGGAUGGCUGUAAGGUAGUCUCUAUGUGAGUAUGCUGUAUUUAAUUAUGGGGUAUCAAAAGGUUUUGGGGGGGGGACGCUGGUGGCACUGUGGGUUAAACCACAGAGCCUAGGACUUGCCGAUCAGAAGGUCGGCUGUUCGAAUCCCCGUGACAGGGUGAGCUCCCGUUGCUCGGUCCCUGCUCCUGCCAACCUAGCAGUUCGAAAGCACGUCAAAGUGGAAGUAGAUAAAUAGGUACUGCUCUGGCGUUUCCGUGCGCCGCUCUGGUUCGCCAGAAGCGGCUUAGUCAUGCUGGCCACAUGACCCGGAAGCUGUACGCUGGCUCCCUCGGCCAAUAAAGCGAGAUGAAUGCCGCAACUCCAGAGUCGGUCACGACUGGACCUAAUGGUCAGGAGUCCCUUUACCUUUAUCAAGAGUUUUUAGGGGGUCAAGCAGGCUGGGAUAGCAGGCUUGUUGCUUUCUGAAUGUCUGGUGUAGAUUUUUUCAAUUUCGUUGUUCUGUAUGGGACAAUGACAAUAAAGACUAUAGUAUUGUAUCGUGUUGUCGCUCAGGCGCUGGUCCCAGUCAGCAGGAUCUCUGCUUGGUGCAAUGUAAGUCCGGCGCAGUUUAAAUCUGCGCCCCAGAUGCUACAACAGCAGCAAGAAUACUUAUUGCAAAGCAUUGGAAGACACAAGAUCUACCCACACUGGAGGAAUGGCAGAUGAAAAUGAUGGACUACAUGGAAUUGGCGGAAAUGACUGGUAGAAUCCGAGACCAGGGAGAAGAGUCGGUGGAAGAAGAUUGGAAGAAAUUUAAAGACUACUUACAGAAAUAUUGUAAAAUUAAUGAAUGUUAGAAUGAUGUUGGAUUGAAGUUAAGUGGUUUCUGGCUGUAAUGGUAUAAAAGAAUAUGGAAAAUUGGUUUUUAAUAUCUAAAAAUUUAAUGUUAUAAUAUAUCAAGAUUAAAGAUCAGGAUUAAAAAGGAGGGAAAGGAAUUGCUGGACUAACAAAUUGAAUUAGAAUACAAAAGAGGGAGGUAUGAGGAGGUCCGGGAAACAAGUAAAUGUAAAAGAAGUGAUGAAAAGAUGAAAU